CUCUCGCAUCGAUGAAGAACGCAGCGAAAUGCGAUAAGUAAUGUGAAUGNCAGAAUUCAGUGAAUCAUCGAAUCCUUGAACGCACCUUGCGCUCCUUGGUAUUCCGAGGAGCACGCCUGUUUGAGUGUCAUGAAAUUCUCAACCUAUAAACCUUCGCGGGUCUAUAGGAUUGGACUUGGAGGCUUUGUCGGCUUUACAGUCGGCUCCUCUCAAAUGCAUUAGCUUGAUUCCUUGCGGAUCGGCUCUCGGUGUGAUAAUUGUCUACGCCGCGACCGUGAAGCGUUUUGGCGAGCUCCUAACCGUCUCUUAUGAGACAAUCUUUUGACAUCUGACCUCAAAUCAGGCGGGACUACCCGCUGAACUUAAGCAUAUCAAUAAGCGGAGGAAAAGAAACUAACAAGGAUUCCCCUAGUAACUGCGAGUGAAGCGGGAAAAGCUCAAAUUUAAAAUCUGGCGGUCUAUGGCCGUCCGAGUUGUAGUCUGGAGAAGCGUUUUCCGCGC
rnacentral:rRNA from 1 species